AAUUGAAAUUUCCCUAGACACUUUUAUGCACACGGUGACACAAAUCACGUUCCAAUUGCAGUAACUGCCGACACAACAUUACACAUCCGUACCACAGUAUAUGUAUAACCAGUAGCGUCACUCAAGAAAAAUAGCGUCGGAGAAAUGCUACGGCGCAUGCGUUGGAUUACUAUCCACAAUAUGGUGUACAGUGAGUUGUAAACACAUUUUAGGUCUGAAAAUAUUUUUAAAAAACAUUGUUAUAAUAAUAGAACGUCGCGUAGUUGUUGAUGAUUUCACGUGCGCAAUGCAAGAUUGCAAUGAAAAUUCCGGCUCCAGUCGUCACUUGAGCUUUUUUCGCUUUCCAUCUCAUCCAGAAAGGUGACUGAAUUCCUGUUCAAUUAUUCAACACAUACCUAUCCACAAAAUGGAGCUUAUCUUAUAAGUAUUCAUACGUAUUCAUAAUAACAAGACAGAAAUCAAUUUAAGUACAUUAAACAGAUAAACAAUAAUACACCUGAUAAUAUAAAACAAAUUAGUCUUUUAUAACCAAUUGUAAAUUACAUAGAAUUGUUAUAUACAUUUAUUUAUUAUCAAUUUUUAUAUACAUCUAAAAUUUGAGAUUUCGUAUUUUUGAAGAGUAUAACAAAAAAUUGGAAUCAUUGAUCACGAAUUUAUCGUAAUUUUACACAUUAUAUACAUUUCAAUUGUAAAUAAUCUAAAUGUACAUCAAUAUGUUU